AAAGGUGUCGAUAAGUGGUAAGACAGCAGCUUCCCAAGCUACCAUUCGUGGGUUCGAAUCCCAUCGCC
rnacentral:tRNA from 1 species